GGGCCAGACUCCUACGGGAGGCAGCAGUGAGGAAUAUUGGUCAAUGGGCUUACGCCUGAACCAGCCAAGUCGCGUGAGGGAAGACUGCCCUAUGGGUUGUAAACCUCUUUUGUCAGGGAGCAACGCUGGCUACGUGUAGCCGGACUGAGAGUACCUGAAGAAAAAGCAUCGGCUAACUCCGUGCCAGCAGCCGCGGCAAUACGGAGGAUGCGAGCGUUAUCCGGAUUUAUUGGGUUUAAAGGGUGCGUAGGCGGAAUGCCAAGUCAGCGGUAAAAUCGCGGGGCUCAACCUCGCUCCGCCGUUGAAACUGGCAUUCUUGAGUGGGCGAGAAGUAUGCGGAAUGCGUGGUGUAGCGGUGAAAUGCAUAGAUAUCACGCAGAACUCCGAUUGCGAAGGCAGCAUACCGGCGCCCAACUGACGCUGAAGCACGAAAGCGUGGGGAUCGAACAGGAUUAGAUACCCUAGUAC
rnacentral:rRNA from 1 species